AGUGAACGCUGGCGGUGGGCCUAAUACAUGCAAGUCGAACGGCCGCACAGUAAGCGCUCGCCCUUACGGUUGGCGAGGGGCGGACGGGUGAGGAAUACAUCGCCAUCUACUAAUUCGUGGGGGACAUCGGGGGGCCACAUACGCUAAUACCGCAUAUGACCUACGGGAGAGAGCAAGGGAGCUAGAGAGCUUUCCCGUUACAUAGAGACGGUGUCGGAUUAGCUAGUUGGGGGGGUAAAGGCCCACCAAGGCGACGAUCCGUAGCGGGUCUGAGAGGAUGAUCAGCCACACUGGAACUGAGACACGGUCCAGACUCCUACGGGAGGCAGCAGUGGGGAAUAUUGCACAAUGGGCGCAAGCCUGAUGCAGCCAUGCCGCGUGAGUGAAGAAGGCCUUCGGGUUGUAAAGCCCUUUUGUUGGCGAAGAACAACAGCAUAUUAAUCCCCCGCUGUUCUGACGGUACCCAAAGAGUAAGCACCGGCUAACUUCGUG
rnacentral:rRNA from 1 species